rnacentral:rRNA from 1 species
CGGUGGCCUUAGGGGAGGGGAAACACCCGUUCCCAUUCCGAAUACGGUAGUUAAGCCCUCUUCCGCCGAUGGUACUGCGGCCGGAACGGCCGUGGGAGAGUAGGAAACUGCCGGGAUU